rnacentral:rRNA from 1 species
AGGACGAACGCUGGCGGCGUGCCUAAUACAUGCAAGUCGAACGGCUUUUCUAUGGAAGCUUGCUUCCACUGAGAAGAUAGUGGCGAACGGGUGAGUAACACGUGGGUAACCUGCCCAUAAGAGGGGGAGUAACAUCCGGAAACGGGUGCUAAUACCGCAUAGUUUUCUUGAUUGCAUGAUUGAGAAAGGAAAGACGGCCUUUGUGCUGUCGCUUAUGGAUGGACCCGCGGCGUAUUAGUUAGUUGGUGAGGUAACGGCUCACCAAGACGAUGAUACGUAGCCGACCUGAGAGGGUGAUCGGCCACAUUGGGACUGAGACACGGCCCAAACUCCUACGGGAGGCAGCAGUAGGGAAUCUUCCGCAAUGGACGAAAGUCUGACGGAGCAACGCCGCGUGAGUGAAAGAAGGUUUUCGGAUCGUAAAACUCUGUUGUCAGAGAAGAACAAGUUGGAGAGUAACUGCUCCAGCCUUGACGGUAUCUGACCAGAAAGCCACGGCUAACUACGUGCCAGCCGCCGC